CCCGAAAGAUCGAACGAGGAGAUUCAUCGUCAGCGCAUGGUCGACUUUCAUGCGGUCGUGAUGUGGGCGYCUCGUGCGUCUUAUUACGCGUCCGCUGUGGAUGUUCGGCCGCGUCGUCGUGCACUUCUCCUCUGGUAGAACGUCGCGACCCGCUGGGUGUCGGUUUAAGGGCCGAGGUCGUCGACUGUACCGUCGCUUCGGCGCUCGGUUGCAGACGCUCGGUUCCCAAUCGGCUGCUCGGCGGUAUUCGCAAGGUAUCGAGCCGCACUUGAAUGCGUUCAGACGAGUCGCAAGCCCGAUCAUCAUUUCGGCGAGUUCGGACCUAGUGCCGGGCCCGCUGGGUUGGUCGGCUGUUGGCAGGCUAUGCUCUCGAACAGGCUAAACUUGAAUAACGAUACCGGUCAGCGACGCUAUCGCUUUGGGUACUUUCAGGACCCGUCUUGAAACACGGACCAAGGAGUCUAACAUGUGCGCGAGUCAUUGGGAUGUURAAACCUAAAGGCGCAUUGAAAGAAAAGAUCGGCCUCGCGUCGGUUGAGGGAGGAUGGGCGGCGUCAAGGUGCCGCUCCGCACUCCCGGGGCGUCUCUUAAAGUCAUCGCGACUUGAGGCGCUCCCAGAGCGUACACGUUGGGACCCGAAAGAUGGUGAACUAUGCCUGGUCAGGAUGAAGUCAGGGGAAACCCUGAUGGAGGUCCGCAACGCAUCUGACGUGCAAAUCGAUCGUCGGAACC
rnacentral:rRNA from 1 species